GACGUAGGGCGCGAGCGUUGUCCGGAUUUAUUGGGCGUAAAGAGCUCGUAGGCGGCUUGUCGCGUCGUUCGUGAAAACCUGCAGCUCAACUGCAGGCUUGCGGUCGAUACGGGCAGGCUGGAGUUCGGUAGGGGAGACUGGAAUUCCUGGUGUAGCGGUGAAAUGCGCAGAUAUCAGGAGGAACACCGGUGGCGAAGGCGGCAUCCUGGACCGACAUUGACGCUGAGGAGCGAAAGCCAGGGGAGCAAACGGG
rnacentral:rRNA from 1 species